UACGGGGGGGGGCAAGCGUUGUUCGGAAUUACUGGGCGUAAAGGGCUCGUAGGCGGCCAACUAAGUCAGACGUGAAAUCCCUCGGCUUAACCGGGGAACUGCGUCUGAUACUGGAUGGCUUGAAUCCGGGAGAGGGAUGCGGAAUUCCAGGUGUAGCGGUGAAAUGCGUAGAUAUCUGGAGGAACACCGAUGGCGAAGGCAGGUCUCUGGGCCGAUACUGACGCUGAGGAGCGAAAGCGUGGGGAGCGAACAGG
rnacentral:rRNA from 1 species